rnacentral:lncRNA from 1 species
AUGUCCCUCUCCUCCUGUGUCCUUGUGAAACAUAUCUGUUUGCCCCCUCAGUGUCUUCCUCAGCCCCUGGCCAGUGUUGAAAGGGAUAUGUUCAAUGUCUCUUCUGUCAUCAGUACUAAAUUCACAUUGAGCCUACGCGUGGACUCCAGGAAUGUUUCCCUUUGCAGCUGGAGUCAGACAUACGAAGAAGGCGGCCAAUACUCUGUCUGGAUCCAGCAGCAGACUGCGUCCAACACCAGCGCCAUCUGCCGUCACUCAGUGGAUGAAAAUCCCAGGAACGCAUACCUACCGCUUCUGGUGGCUCUCCUGGUGCUGGCCGUCAUCGCCCUUCUGUUCGUUCUCAUACCCUACAUCAACAGGAAGUACAACGCAACAAAACGGAUCAAGAAUGCUUGUUGCCCGAGCCCGCAAUACACAGUGGACUGUGUGAGUAUCAAGGCACCGGUAAUACGCCCGCCCGACACAGAGAGACAUGACAGACCUUGCUUGUUGGGCUGUUUGCAAGACAACGUGGCUCCAAGAUCUAAUUAA